UGGGUGUUUUCCUCUGCCUGUUUGUUUUUGUUUCUUUCCUCCUGUGUGUUCAUUCCCAUUUGAAAGUGACCUGUAUUUACCUGCAGCACAGUCUAGACAGCUAAUGAAAUAGUAAGAGCCCAGUGGAGUUCUGCAAGAAUGUAAACAGAAAGAGUAUCAGAAAUAGGACACUUGAAAGAACAUCUCCCAAUGGCAAAGAUAAGAGCCCACGUCCUGCAUCCUGUGGCUGUGCAUUCUCAGCCACAAGAGUCACUGCAGCCCCUUUCCGGAGGGAGGCGACUUGGACAACGCCGUCCGACUGAUGCGGCUGAUCCAGCUUUACCCAAGGGAAGUGGAUGAGGUCACAAGACUGGGAAAGGACUUGUUUGCUGUCAGGAGGAUGGUGAACUUGACACGUCAAAUAGAGCUGAGUGCUGCUGUGAGGAGAGAAAGGAAAGGCAAGGUUGUGCUUGUGCCCAUUGAGUGCCACUGAAGACAACUGGCUCCUGGUGGUGCUCUGUGAAAAUCAGGCUGGUGGCGGCUCCAAUAGCAGGAGUCCUGUUCCUGAGCAGAGCCAAUGCCAGGCUGUUAAACACAGCGAAGGAAACCUUGUCGCUGUCUCAAAUUGCUUCCAAGGUCAAGUGCCAUCCUACACAACCCCCAGCACCAACUACUAGGCUUCUCCAAAAUGAAACACUUCCAAGAACCAAAGAUUUCAAAACUAAGGAAAUCUCUGCCAUAGAGCCAGAUGUGUAUUCUGCAUGGGAAGGUUAUUUAUUGAAGCAAAGAACAUGGCUGCUGCAAGCUGAUGAUCGGUGGCAUCAGUUCUGCUGGAUGCAAGAACGAAACCUGAAAUUCGUAGAAGGCAAUGAGAGUUUCCAUGGCUCCAAGGGACCUGCUGAGAAUACCUCCCAUAUUUUGGGACAGACAACAGACUCCCAAGAGAGCUUGAAAAAGCAGCUGCCACCUUUGGUUUUUAUUCUGAACUGGAUGCAGUUUCAUAAUCCCAGUCUGUUCUGCUCUAGUUUUAGGUCUGUGGCUUUGGAUAACCACCUAUAUGUGCCUAUUUUCCUUCAUUAGGUGUCAGGUAACAAACUGUUCUGAAACAGCGUGUACCAGCAUGGGAACAGCGGGGUUAGAAAUCAGUGCCAAGAUGCUCAGAUGAAUUUCUUUAUCCUCAUCCUCGCUCUGGCAAGGGUAGUUGUUGAAUUCAGCUAAUUAGAGAAGGUUGAUAGAACAAGUCUGUAAGUGUUGCAGUCGGGCUCAGCGGACACGGUGCGUGUGUACUUUCGACAUGCAAAAGAGCUUGGGGAGUUUCUGUGUGUAUGAUAUGAGGCUCUCUUUAUAUUAAGCCUUUCUUGAACAAACAUAAACCUCACGAGGGAAGUGCUUUUUAUACUUUUCCUCUCCCCAGAACCUCAAGAUAAAAUUAAAAAUGCCAGGACAUAAAUGACCACCGUUGGCUCUGUUUUGCCUGGUUACCAGCAAAAAUACUGGUAUCAGUUGGCAUGAAUUGGCAGCAUUUCAACAGCAUCCUUUGAACCAGGCCAAUCCACCAAAUGACAAUCUGGUUCCAGAUAUAUUUAUAGCCAGAAUACUCUGUGGCACAUGUUGCUGUCUUUCUGGAACCAUUUAUAGUUGCUGCAGUAUCAUUUACCACCAUUUACUCUAAUUGUGUUUCCAGGAGAGCUGUAAAUGUACCCUUUUGCUAGAGGCACUGAGCAUAAAACAGGAAAGAAAGCAGGAGGGAAGGUCAGAGCAGUAGAUGAGUCACUGCAGCAGAAAUUCAUAUCUACAGGUCAACAUUGGUUUUGUUUGGCAAUGCAGAGCUUAAGCAUCCCAACUUACUGUGGCCAUCAACCCAUGCGGAGUGACAGUGUGUGCAUGGAUUUGCUCACACAUUGCUGUCCUCUUGUUCAUGUGCUUCAGUUGUUGGAGACAUAAAGAUAGGUACAAAAGAUGAAU